rnacentral:rRNA from 1 species
GAUUGCCUCAGGACGAACGCUGGCGGCGUGCUUAACACAUGCAAGUCGAACGAUGAAGCCUAGCUUGCUAGGUGGAUUAGUGGCGAACGGGUGAGUAAUACGUGAGUAACCUACCUUUAACUCUGGGAUAAGCCCGGGAAACUGGGUCUAAUACCGGAUACGACCAAUCUCCGCAUGGGGUGUUGGUGGAAAGCGUUAUGUAGUGGUUAUAGAUGGGCUCACGGCCUAUCAGCUUGUUGGUGAGGUAACGGCU